UCUGAUGCAAUGUUGCCAUAUAUAUUUGAAGUCCACUAAAGGAACUUAACAUCCUUUCAAGAAAUAAUUCUCCUUAGUCUAUAGAAAAAGCCAACAAAAUAUUAAUUCCACGCACACCCAAGUUUAUUUGCUGAAAAUUAACGAAUAACGUGACAAUAACAUCUCACCAACUUCACAGCCUAGCUAGUAUUAAGAAGAAGGUAAAUUAAUUAACCAGUAAAGUAAAUAAAAUAACGUUGGCUGAUUAAAACACAAAGCAAUCGAAAGAGAAAAAUUUGAAGGGGAAAAAUAACAUACAAGAAUAUUACACACCAAUGAGGAAAAGAAAAGCGAAAAAAAGAAGAAGAUAAAAUGACAUCAAAUGAAACAUCUUCAAAUCAGUUGCAACUGAGAGACUCGAAUCAAAUACUUUUCCUGACUACAAAGAAAGAAACGAUGAAAGCAAGAAAUCCUAAUAGAAAUGCUGGAGAAGAAUUGGUGGAGCCAAUAUUUUUUGAGGGAGAAGAUUCAGCAUAGUUGCCUCCUCCAUAUUGUGCUGUUGCAACAGCCAAAAUCAUGGCCAAAAAAAUAACUACAAUUGCAACUGAACCCCUAAAACCCAUGCUUACGCUCUCCUUAAGUUGCAACCUUAAUUACACAAAAGUUGAUGAUUAAUUUCUUUUUGAAAGUUCUACUCAGAUUCCAACAAAG
rnacentral:lncRNA from 1 species